AUGGAGACUGUACCAAACCCAUUUCACCAGGAGCAUGUCAUCUCAGGAGGCCUGGUUGUGAGCCUGGUUCCUUUGAACACCGCGAAUCCAGGAGGUUCAGCAGGCAAUGCAGUGUUUACAAAACAAGACUUUAUGCUGUACAGAAUGGGAGUAAAUGCCCGUAAGCUGUCGCAGAAGAGGAACAUGCUGUACCAACCUGCUCACCACACAGGUCUGAUUUACAAAAGCACUUCAUCGCUGACCUAA
rnacentral:lncRNA from 1 species